UGGGUGUGAUCUUAGCUCUGGAUAAACGCUAAUUAGAUGUAUAACACAUGCAAGUUGAAUGCCUAAAUAUUUUUAUUAGUAAUAAUAAUUUAUAUUUUGCAUAGCGUCAAGGUGCGUAAUAAAUAUAUACUUACCAAAUAAUCAUUAUUGAUUAGUGAUAACAACAUUAAUAAUAAUUAAUGUUUUAAAGGGUUUUAAUAUUAUUUUAGUAAUCAAAUUAUAAAUUUUUUAUAAAUUUUUUAUAAAUUUAUAGCAUAAUUUUUCUUUAAAAGUUUUAAUUUGAAUUUUUUUAAUUUUUAAUUAAAUUGUACCUGUUAUUUGAUAGUUAUAUUUGGGAUUAGGCUUUUGAAAUCGGGCUAAUGUUUCAGAGUUGAAUUUUAUUUAUCAAACCUAUAAUCCCUAGUUGAUUUGAGAGAAGAAUCAGCCACAAAAGGUAUGAGAACAACCUUUCGUCCCCAGCAGCAGUGAAGAAUAUUGAGCAAUACGCGCAAGCGUGACUCAGCAAACUAAUGCGAGUGAAGAAGAUAUAUUUUAUUGUAAAGCUCAUACGCAAGUUAGAAUUAUGAUUAAGCUUGAAUUGAAGCCAUGGCCAAUACAUGUGCCAGCAGCCGCGGUAAUACAUGAGUGGCGAGCGUUAUCCGUAAUUAUUGGGCGUAAAGGAUGCGUAGAUGGUAAAAGUAGUUGUAAUUUACUACAACAGAUAGAUGGGUCUUUUACAAAACCUUUUUACUAGAGUUUUAUUAUAAGUUUACAAAAGUUAUAAAUUAGUGAUAAAAUACUUCUAGUUUAUAAUUAUUUUCAAUGGCGAAAGCAGUAAACUAAAUAAAACUGACAUUGAGGCAUUAAAGUAUGGUCAUCAAAUAGGAUUAGACACCCUACUAGUCCAUACUANNNNNNNNNNNNNNNNNNNNNNNNNNNNNNNNUAAACUAUGAGUAUUAAAACUGAUUUGGUUGAAGCUUACGCUUAAAUACUCCGCCUGGGCAGUAUAGUCGCAAGGUCGAAACUUAACAGAAUUGGCGGGAAUUUGUUUGAAUGGUGGAACAUGUGGUUUAAUACGAUAAUCCGCGCAAAAUCUUACCAAGAUGGUUAAAGUUUUUAAUUACUUUCUAAUCAGGGUCUUUAUUUUAACUUUGACACGGUACUGCAUGGCUGUCGUCAGUUCGUGCUUUGAGGCAUGGAAUUAAGUUUUUUAACGAACGAAACCCCCCUAAUUAGUUUUAAAAUAAUUUUAAUUUUUUAAAAUAAUUUUAAUUUUUUUAAAAUUAUUAAUUAUUAAAUUUAUUUUUUCUAAUUUUAAGAUUUAUCGACGUUUUUUAAAAUUUGGUUGAUUAAAUGGAGGGAAGGGCUGAAGUCAAGUCAUUAUGGUCUGCGUAUCUUGGGCUACACACGUGUUACAAAGGUAGAGACAAAGAGUAGCUAAAAAGUAAUUUGGAGCAAAUCUCUAAAAACUACCCUAAUUCAGAUUGUCCUCUGAAACUCGAAGACAUGAAGAUGAAAUCAUUAGUAAUCGUAGAUUAGUACGCUACGGUGAAUGAGAAAUCAAAUUUUGCACACACCGCCCAUCACGCUCUGAGAAUUAAAAUGUUUCGAAGAACUUUUUUUCUUUUUCCAUUACCGGGUAACUUGUUAUGGUUAUAUAUUAUUAUAAUGAAUAACUAAACUUUUUUGAU
rnacentral:rRNA from 1 species